rnacentral:rRNA from 1 species
AACGAACGCUGGCGGCAGGCUUAACACAUGCAAGUCGAACGAAGUCUUCGGACUUAGUGGCGCACGGGUGAGUAACACGUGGGAAUAUACCUCUUGGUGGGGGAUAACGUCGGGAAACUGACGCUAAUACCGCAUACGCCCUUCGGGGGAAAGAUUUAUCGCCGAGGGAUUAGCCCGCGUCCGAUUAGCUAGUUGGUAAGGUAAUGGCUUACCAAGGCGACGAUCGGUAGCUGGUCUGAGAGGAUGAUCAGCCACACUGGGACUGAGACACGGCCCAGACUCCUACGGGAGGCAGCAGUGGGGAAUAUUGGACAAUGGGGGCAACCCUGAUCCAGCCAUGCCGCGUGAGUGAUGAAGGCCCUAGGGUUGUAAAGCUCUUUCGGGUGGGACGAUGAUGACGGUACCACCAGAAGAAGCCCCGGCUAACUUCGUGCCAGCAGCCGCCGUAA